rnacentral:misc_RNA from 1 species
GAUGAAGAACGUAGCGAAAUGCGAUAAGUAAUGUGAAUUGCAGAAUUCAGUGAAUCAUCGAAUCUUUGAACGCACAUUGCGCCCGCCAGUAUUCUGGCGGGCAUGCCUGUCCGAGCGUCAUUUCAACCAUCAAGCCCCGGGCUUGUGUUGGGGACCUGCGUCCGACGCAGGCCCUGAAAACCAGUGGCGGGCUCGCUGUCCACACCGAGCGUAGUAACUAACCUCGCUAUGGAGUGGCGCGGGCGCCUGCCGUAAAACCCCCAAUUUCACAAGGUUGACCUCGGAUCAGGUAGGAAUACCCGCUGAACUUAAGCAUAUCAAUAACGGAGGA